rnacentral:rRNA from 1 species
GAGUAACACGUGACUAACCUACCCUUGAGCGGGGGAUAACCUAGGGAAACCUGGGCUAAUACCGCAUAAUACCUACGGGUCAAAGCGAGCAAUCGCACUUAAAGAGGGGGUCGCGGCAGAUUAGCUAGUUGGUGAGGUAAUGGCUCACCAAGGCGAUGAUCUGUAUCCGGCCUGCGAGGGCGCACGGACACACUGGAACUGAAACACGGUCCAGACUCCUACGGGAGGCAGCAGUGGGGAAUUUUGCGCAAUGGGGGAAACCCUGACGCAGCAACGCCGCGUGGAGGAUGAAAUCCCUUGGGAUGUAAACUCCUUUCGAUCGGGACGAUAAUGACGGUACCGAUAGAAGAAGCCCCGGCUAACUUCGUGCCAGCAGCCGCGGUAAUACGAGGGGGGCAAGCGUUGUUCGGAAUUAUUGGGCGUAAAGGGUGCGUAGGCGGUUUGAUAAGUCUUGUGUGAAAUCUAUGGGCUCAACCCAUAGUCUGCACAUGAAACUGUCGGGCUUGAGAAUGGGAGAGGUGAGUGGAAUUUCCGGUGUAGCGGUGAAAUGCGUAGAUAUCGGA